rnacentral:rRNA from 1 species
AAGCGAAGCUCCUGAUCGAAGCCCCAGUAAACGGCGGCCGUAACUAUAACGGUCCUAAGGUAGCGAAAUUCCUUGUCGGGUAAGUUCCGACCUGCACGAAUGGCGUAAUGAUGGCCAGGCUGUCUCCACCCGAGACUCAGUGAAAUUGAACUCGCUGUGAAGAUGCAGUGUACCCGCGGCAAGACGGAAAGACCCCGUGAACCUUUACUAUAGCUUGACACUGAACAUUGAGCCUUGAUGUGUAGGAUAGGUGGGAGGCUUUGAAGUGUGGACGCCAGUCUGCAUGGAGCCAACCUUGAAAUACCACCCUUUAACGUUUGAUGUUCUAACCUAGGCCCGUGAUCCGGGUCGGGGACCGUGUCUGGUGGGUAGUUUGACUGGGGCGGUCUCCUCCUAAAGAGUAACGGAGGAGCACGAAGGUUGGCUAAGCAUGGUCGGACAUCAUGCGGUUAGUGCAAAGGCAUAAGCCAGCUUGACUGCGAGAGUGACGGCUCGAGCAGGUACGAAAGUAGGUCUUAGUGAUCCGGUGGUUCUGAAUGGAAGGGCCAUCGCUCAACGGAUAAAAGGUACUCCGGGGAUAACAGGCUGAUACCGCCCAAGAGUUCAUAUCGACGGCGGUGUUUGGCACCUCGAUGUCGGCUCAUCACAUCCUGGGGCUGAAGUAGGUCCCAAGGGUAUGGCUGUUCGCCAUUUAAAGUGGUACGCGAGCUGGGUUUAGAACGUCGUGAGACAGUUCGGUCCCUAUCUGCCGUGGGCGUUGGAAGAUUGAGAGGGGUUGCUCCUAGUACGAGAGGACCGGAGUGAACGCACCACUGGUGUUCGGGUUGUCAUGCCAAUGGCAUUGCCCGGUAGCUAAGUGCGGAAGAGAUAACCGCUGAAAGCAUCUAAGCGGGAAACUUGCCUCGAGAUGAGUCUUCCCUGUCGCUUAAAGCGACCUAAAGGAACGUUUAAGACGAAGACGUUGAUAGGCUGGGUGUGUAAGCGUAGCGAUACGUUGAGCUAACCAGUACUAAUGAACCGUGAGGCUUAACCUG